CAGUUUUGGCGGAGCCAUCCUUGGGAUACCACCCUUGUAGUACUGGGACUCUAACCAUAGGCCAUGAAUCUGGUCUUGGGACACUGUCAGGUGGGCAGUUUGACUGGGGCGGUCGCCUCCCAAAAGGUAACGGAGGCGCUCAAAGGUUCUCUCAGUACGGUCGGAAAUCGUACGUAGAGUGUAAAGGCAAAAGAGAGCUUGAUUGCAAGACAUACAGGUCGAGCAAGGAUGAAAAUCGGACUUAGUGAUCCGGUGGUUCUGCGUGGAAGGGCCAUCGCUCAACGGAUAAAAGCUACCCUGGGGAUAACAGGCUUAUCUCCCCCAAGAGUCCACAUCGACGGGGAGGUUUGGCACCUCGAUGUCGGCUCAUCACAUCCUGGGGCUGUAGUAGGUCCCAAGGGUUGGGCUGUUCGCCCAUUAAAGUGGUACGCGAGCUGGGUUCAGAACGUCGUGAGACAGUUCGGUCCCUAUCCGUCGCAGGCGUAGGAAAUUUGAGAAGACCUGUCCUUAGUACGAGAGGACCGGGAUGGACGUACCUCUGGUGUACCAGUUGUUCUGCCAAGGGCAUGGCUGGGUAGCUAUGUACGGAAUGGAUAAGCGCUGAAAGCAUCUAAGCGCGAAGCCAACUUCAAGAUAAGAUUUCCCACCGCAAGGGUAAGACCCCAGAAAGACUAUCUGGUUGAUAGGUCGAAGGUGUAAGUGCAGCA
rnacentral:rRNA from 1 species